rnacentral:rRNA from 1 species
AAAUGAAUAGACGGGGGCCCGCACAAGCGGAGGAACAUGUGGUUUAAUUCGAUGAUACGCGAGGAACCUUACCCGGGCUUGAAAUGCAUUCGACGGGGUUGGAAACAGCCUUUCCCUUCGGGGCGGAUGCGUAGGUGCUGCAUGGUUGUCGUCAGCUCGUGCCGUGAGGUGUCGGCUUAAGUGCCAUAACGAGCGCAACCCCUGUCGUCAGUUACCAUCGGUAUAAGCCGGGGACUCUGACGAGACUGCCAUCGUAAGAUGCGAGGAAGGUGGGGAUGACGUCAAAUCAGCACGGCCCUUAUGUCCGGGGCGACACACGUGUUACAAUGGGCGGUACAGCGGGGCGCUACCCGGCGACGGGGAGCCGAUCCCGAAAUCCGCUCACAGUUCGGAUCGGAGUCUGCAACUCGACUCCGUGAAGUCGGAUUCGCUAGUAAUCGCGCAUCAGCCACGGCGCGGUGAAUACGUUCCCGGGCCUUGUACACACCGCCCGU